UCAGGGGAAGAAGUUCAGUUUCACCGCGCUCUCUGUUGUUGUUAUGUCGGUGUGCUGCCUUAAUACAAACGGUUAGACAAGUUUCUAAGAGAAAAAAAUACAGAUUUUGAAUCAGUUAGUAAAUACCUGUUAUAUUCUGAAGCGAUCAAGAAUAUCUGGAGGAGUUUAUCAUCUGAACUGAGAUCUGCUGCUGUGAAGAUGGAGUUUGUGAAAGAGGAGAGAGAAGAGAACACGAGUGAACGAGAAAUCAGCACAAUAAAACACGAGGAAACAGAAAUGAAACACGAGGAAACAGAAAUGAAACACGAGGAAACAGAAAUAAAACACGAGGAACCAGAAACCAGCACAAUAAAACACGAGGAACCAGAAACCUGGGGGAUAAAACACGAGGAAAUAGAAACCAGCACAAUAAAAGACGAGGAAACAGAAAUAAAACACGAGGAACCAGAAACCUGGAGAAUAAAACACGAGGAAACAGAAACCAGCACAAUAAAACACGAGGAAACCGAAAUAAAACACGAGGAAACAGAAAUAAAACAUGAGGAACAAGGAGAGUUCAUCAAAGAAAAAGAGGACAAUGAAGAAUCAAGUGAAGUUGAGGAGAAAAAUAAUGUCAAAACUGGUGGGAAAACUUUGACUUGCUCUCAAACCAAACAGAAAGAUUUAAAGAAAAAAAGAGUUAAGGUAUCUUUCACCUGCACUCAGUGUGGAAAGAGUUUCACAUGUAAAUCAAAUCUUAAGCAUCACAUGAAAGUUCAUACUGGAGAGAAACCAUUCACUUGCAAUCAGUGCGGGAAGAUUUUCAAACAAUCAUCAAACCUUAAGGAUCACAUGAACAUCCACACUGGAGAGAAACCUUACAAGUGUUCACACUGUGACAAGAGAUUCAGUCAGUCAGUCAAUCUGAAAACACAUGAGAGGAUCCACACUGGAGAGAAACCUUACAAGUGUUCACACUGUGACAAGAGAUUCAGUCAGUCAGUCAAUCUGAAAACACAUGAGAGGAUCCACACUGGAGAGAAACCUUACAAGUGUUCACACUGUGACAAGAGAUUCAGUCAUUCAGCAGAUCUGAAAAAACACGAGAGGAUCCACACUGGAGAGAAACCUUACAAGUGUUCACACUGUGACAAGAGAUUCAGUCAUACAGUCAGUCUGAAAACACAUGAGAGGAUCCACACUGGAGAGAAACCUUACAAGUGUUCACACUGUGACAAGAGAUUCAGUCAGUCAGCAGCUCUGAAAAAACAUGAGAGGAUCCACACUGGAGAGAAACCUUACAAGUGUUCACACUGUGACAAGAGAUUCGGUGUGUCAUCAAGUCUGAAAACACAUGAGAGGAUCCACACUGGAGAGAAACUUUACAAGUGUUCACACUGUGACAAGAGAUUCGGUGUGUCAUCAAGUCUGAAAACACACGAGAAGAUCCACACUGGAGAGAAACCUUACAAGUGUUCAAACUGUGACAAGAGAUUUGGUGCGUCAACAGAGCUGAAAACACACCAGAGGAUCCACACUGGAGAGAAACCUUACAAGUGUUCACACUGUGACAAGAGAUUCGGUGUGUCAUCAAGUCUGAAAAAACAUGAGAGGAUCCACACUGGAGAGAAAACUUACAAGUGUUCACACUGUGACAAGAGAUUCUAUAAUUUAUCAAGUCUGAAAAAACAUGAGAGGAUUCACACUGGAGAGAAACCUUACAAGUGUUCACACUGUGACAAGAGAUUCAGUCAGUCAGUAAGUCUGAAAACACAUGAGACGAUUCACACUGGAGAGAAACCUUAUAAGUGUUCACACUGUGGCAAGAGAUUCAGUCAAAGAGGAUAUCUUAAAAAACAUGAGAGGAUUCAUACUGGAGAGAAACCUUAUAAGUGUUCACACUGUGACAAGAGAUUCGGUGCGUCAUCAAGUCUGAAAACACAUGAGAGGAUCCACACUGGAGAGAAACCUUACAAAUGUUCACACUGUGACAAGAGAUUCAGUGAUUUAUCAAGUCUGAAAACACAUGAGAGAUUUCACACUGGAGAGAAACAUAAGUGUUCACACUGUGACAAGAGAUUCAGUGUGUUAUCAAGUCUGAAAAGACAUGAGAGGAUCCACACUGGAGAGAAACCUUACAAGUGUUCACACUGUGACAAGAGAUUCAGUAAUUUAUCACAUCUGAAAACACAUGAGAGAUUUCACACUGGAGAGAAACAUUAUAAGUGUUCACACUGUGACAAGAGAUUCAGUGUGUUAUCAAGUCUGAAAAGACAUGAGAGGAUCCACACUGGAGAGAAACCUUACAAGUGUUCACACUGUGACAAGAGAUUCUAUGAUUUAUCAAGUCUGAAAACACAUGAGAGGAUCCACACUGGAGAGAAAGCACAUCACCGCAAUGUACGUGGAAAGCGUUCCAUUAAGUCAUCUGUUAUACACAGUCAUACAAAAAACAAUCACAGUAAGUCCCCGUAAUCGCGGAGACGCAUUUAGCUGUAUAUGUAAAUAUAUUUCAUAUGGUAUAUGAAUUUGGUCCAGACGGAUCCGGCAUAUGGGGGAGUGAAAACCCUAUUUUUUUUAUUAUUAUUUUUUAAAACCAGGUCCCAGAGUGGAUAAAUCUGAAAAUGACACCUUUGUGUUUUUUUGUACUGCCAAUCCAUAUGUUUUCUAAAACAAUGAUGUCAUCAACCCACUUCUCUACUAUAGUCAGACACCGCUAGGUCAUUUAACACUAACAACAAUGGAGGACUACAUGUUUGUACUCAUGCUGCAGAAGCUACUGAGCCUGUAAGCUUGAUUACUAGUAGAGCAGCACGAUAUUGGAAAACAACUCACAUCGCGAUAAUGUUUCUGAUUUUUCUGAUUAUUAGGAACACCAUAGUAAUACUGUGUUUGACCCCCUUUCGCCUUCAGAACUGCCUUAAUUCUACAUGGACCUGAUUCAACAAGGUGCUGAAAAUAUUCUUUAGAAAUGUUGGCCCAUAUUGAUGGGAUAGUUGAUGGAGAUUUGAGGGAUGCACAUCCAGGGCACGAAGCACCCGUUCCACCACAUCCCAAAGAUGCUCCAUUGGGUUGAGAUCUGGUGACUGUGGGGGCCAUUUUAGUACAGUGAAAUCAUUGUCAUGUUCAAGAAACCCAUUUGAAAUGAUUCGAACUUUGUGACAUGGAGCAUUAUCCUGCUGGAAGUAGCCAUCAGAGGAUGGGUACAUGGUGGACAUAAAGGGAUGGUCAGAAAAAUUGCUCAGGUAGGCCGUGGCAUUUAAACGAUGCCCAAUUGGCACUAAGGGGCCUAAAGUGUGCCAAGAAAACAUCCCCCACACCAUUACACCACCACCCCCACCAGCCUGCACAGUGGAAACAAGGCAUGAUGGAUCCAUGUUCUCAUUCUGUUUACGCCAAAUUCUGACUCUACCAUCUGAAUGUCUCAACAGAAAUCGACACUCAUCAGACCAGGCAACAUUUUUCAAGUCUUCAACUGUCCAAUUUUGGUGAGCUCAUGCAAAUUGUAGCCUCUUUUUCCUAUUUGUAGUGGAGAUGAGUGGUACCCGGUGGGGUCUUCUGCUGUUGUGGCUUCACAAAUGUUUUGCUGCAUACCUCGUUAUUAACGAGUGGUUAUUUCAGUCAAAGUUGCUCUUCUAUCAGCUUGAAUCAGUUGUCCCCAUUCUCCUCUGACCUCUAGCAUCAACAAGGCAUUUUCGCCCACAGGACUGCGCAUACUGGAUGUUUUUCCCUUUUCACACCAUUCUUUGUAAACCCUAGAAAUGGUUGUGCGUUAAAAUCCCAGUAACUGAGCAGAUUGUGAAAUACUCAGACUGGCCCGUCUGGCAACAGCAACCAUGCCACGUUCAAAAUUGCUUAAAUCAUCCUUCUUUCCCAUUCUGACAUUCAGUUUGGAGUUCAGGAUAUUCUCUUGACCAGGACCACACCCUUAAAUGCAUUGAAGCAACUCCCAUGUGAUUGUGGAUUACAGGCUUGCUCCCGCGAGACCCGAUGCAACAAAGAGCGGCGCUGGACAAGACUUCUGUGUGUGUGUGUGUGUGUGUGUAUGUGUGUGUGUGUGCAGGAUACAGGAAAACAAAAUGAUUCAUGGGACUCCGCAAAGUUGAAAUAUCUAAACAUAAAAUAUCUAAAACAAUUAAAUUGUUAUUCAUUUGUUGCUCAAAAGCAAAAUGAACUAAUAUGAAAUAUACAUGAUAAACAGGUGUAAGCGUAUGCAGAGCUUCUAUUUAGGCUAUAACAGGGAUUGAUGCGUGAUACUGAUCCAAAAGCACACCUUUUGUUAAAAAAGGUUAAAUUUCUUCCUUUUAAUAUUCCUUUAAUAAAGCGAGUUUGUCGUUAUUGUUGCUGUUUUCAUUUCAAAUAAAUAAAACAUUGAACCACAAACUAAGAAUUUGUUUUAAAAGAAGGAAAAUACCUUAUUUAUUUUGGUUACAAUAUCAAUUUUUUUAAUUUUUGUCAAGAAAAGUAAAAAAGCCUUUAAAUGCCAAUGAGAAUUUGUAUCAUUGUAUUAUUUUAUUGCUUAUGUGUUUUAAUUAAUGGGCUAACAAUGAACCACAAACUACUAUAGUUUUAAAGAAAGAGGAAAUCCAAAGUGUUUUAAAAAACAUUUUUGUGUUACAAUGUGCAUAAAACAUAUUUUCCUUAUUCAUUUUGUUAAUAAAAGUUCAAAGUGGAAUAUAAGAAAAUUUGUCAUCCCACUGUUUUAGCCUGUUUCUAUUAAUAAUAAUAGGCUAAUAAUGAGCCACAAACUAAGCAUUCAUUUAAAGAGGAAAAUGUAGAUUCAUUAUGCAUAUUUUUAUUGUGUGUUAACAGAUUUGUGAGAUUCGCAUGAACUGAGAUGUAUUUUAGAGAUUAUAAAUGCCGUGCUCUGCUGGCAUUCCACCAAACCAUAUAAAUCAUGCACACAGCAGCCACUUGCUUUAGUCAAGAAUAACUGUUCUGUGAAUGUUGAUGCUGUAAUAAAAAACAUUUUAUUAGGAGUGUGUGCUGGGAUAAAUUUAAUGGAGAAAAAAGUAAUGUACAGUAGGUAGACAACCAAAAUG